AUUGAACGCUGGCGGCAUGCCUUACACAUGCAAGUCGAACGGUAACAGGUCUUCGGAUGCUGACGAGUGGCGAACGGGUGAGUAAUACAUCGGAACGUGCCUAGUAGUGGGGGAUAACUACUCGAAAGAGUGGCUAAUACCGCAUGAGAUCUACGGAUGAAAGCAGGGGAUCGCAAGACCUUGUGCUACUAGAGCGGCCGAUGGCAGAUUAGGUAGUUGGUGGGAUAAAAGCUUACCAAGCCGACGAUCUGUAGCUGGUCUGAGAGGACGAUCAGCCACACUGGGACUGAGACACGGCCCAGACUCCUACGGGAGGCAGCAGUGGGGAAUUUUGGACAAUGGGCGAAAGCCUGAUCCAGCAAUGCCGCGUGCAAGAGGAAGGCCUUCGGGUUGUAAACUGCUUUUGUACGGAACGAAAAGCCCUGGGUUAAUACCCUGGGGUCAUGACGGUACCGUAAGAAUAAGCACCGGCUAACUACGUGCCAGCCGCCGCCGUAA
rnacentral:rRNA from 1 species